rnacentral:rRNA from 1 species
UACGUAGGGGCAAGCGUUGUCCGGAAUUAUUGGGCGUAAAGAGCGCGCAGGUGGUUGAUUAAGUCUGAUGUGAAAGCCCACGGCUUAACCGUGGAGGGUCAUUGGAAACUGGUUGACUUGAGUGCAGAAGAGGGAAGUGGAAUUCCAUGUGUAGCGGUGAAAUGCGUAGAGAUAUGGAGGAACACCAGUGGCGAAGGCGGCUUCCUGGUCUGUAACUGACACUGAGGCGCGAAAGCGUGGGGAGCAAACAGGAUUAGAUACCCU